CUCCUGAGAUUAGGUUAUAAAAAGACCGUUUCUUCUGUCUCUCACUGGCCCUUUCUUAUUCUCGCCCUCUGGGUCCUCAUUCUGGGGGAAGCCAGUGGCCAUGCUGUCAGCUGCCGUAUGGCGAGGCCCCCAAGGUGAGCAACUGAUGUCUCUGGCCAACAGGCAGUAAGAUCCUGCAAGUCUGGUUCAGGGUAAGUCAGGAAGUCAAUGCUUUGUGCUCCACAGGGCAGAAAAUGAGAAUGAGAGAGAGUGAGAGAACCUCUCGCUGGGGAGGCAAGGACAGACACCUCUUAGAAUGUGGCAUCCUACUAGGAUGGAGGAAAACAUAGAAAACAUAUUUUUCACAAAUUUAUUCCAGGAAAAUCAAAUGCUGUUUUCUUUCUUUUUUGGAAAGAGUGAAGUGUGAUGAAGACAGAAUUUUUUUUUUUUUGUAAGUUUCCCAACUGAGGAGCUGUUAUUAUUUUUUCUUUGCUAUUUUUUUUUUUUUUUUUUACUGAUCUGAUAUUUUGGAUAUCUUUUUUCACCAUGAUCUUUUUAUUGUUUUUCUUUCAUAGAGAACUAGAAAUACAACACUUGCUACUUCCCCCCACUCCUCCAAAAUCUGGUUUUUAUGAUACUCAGAUACAAGACUAUUUUGGGAUCCCUCCGCCACACCUUUAAAUAAAUCUAUGUUGAUGCUUUCAGAGUGGCUUUGGGAGGGGAGAUUCAGUCCCAGAGAGGCACUGAGACCAUGCUUGGCUCUGACAGGCUCCCUUGAAAGGUGCAGCAUAUGCUGGGGUCAGGAGGGCUCCUACAAUUGCUCUCACAAACUGAAACUCAGGAUUUUUAAUCAGGGCACGUGUGUUCAGUUCUGCCACUUAACAUCUGUGUGGCUUACAGCAAAUUCCUUCAUCUCUCUGGUUAAUUUCACUCACCUGAAUAUGGAUAUGCACGUGGUGGUGCUAUUUUCCCCUCCAAGUUCUGAUAGACUUUAAAUAACACAGUACAGAAAAAAAGAGCGUCCUAAGUGGGAAACUAACUUCAUAUAACGAUGCAAUGGUCGUAAGUCUGAGAAGGGGGGUACACAGCACGCGAACCGGCCACCUCCAGCGGCAGUCUCCUGACAGCAUCCAUCUGAACAGCUUCAGAGAACACUGCACACCUGAGGAUCCGUCUGCAGUGACCACGCCCAGCAGGGGGCCUGGCCAUUUCCACCCAUAACCUGGUCAGGGAAGAACCCUGACAGCACCAUACGAGGAAGCCUGGACUCCCUUCCCUGAGAAUCAGAGACCAAAUGGAGACAGAAGUUCAGCCUAGAGCCAGCACCAACUGCCAGACAUGUGGGUGAGGCCACCUGGGACUCACCUGCCCCAGUUGAACUGCCAGAUGAUGCCACUGCCGGAGCCAAAUGGGGAGUGACAGCGAAAGAGCCACCCAGUUGAGCCCAUUCCAAAAUGCUGAACAACAACAGAAUCUUAAAUUCCAAGACCAUUCCCCAGUGGUCCAGUGGUUAAGACUCCGUGCUUCCACUGCAGGGGGCCUGGGAUGGACCCUGGUCAGGGAACUAAUAUCCCACAUGCCAUGUGGUAUGGUCAAAAUUUUCUUUUUAAUUCCAAGAAAAUUCAGCGAGAUUUCUAGGAAUCGAGUGAUCUGGGGCAUGUUGAUGUAUUUCUUCCAAGGUGAACUACAGGCUUCUGUAUCUGGUCCCUUCUCCCUCUAUGAAAUAGACACAAUGCCUCCUGGGUCUCUCUGGAUCUUAGAGGUGACAUAUGCUUCAUUUGGUGACCCGUUUUUCCAAGUAACAUGAAGGCUGCCCACGCUGAUUAAGAAGCAGAGGGAAAAAAGGCACUGGAUCACGUCAGAGCUGUCACUCAAGCUGCUCUGCCCUCAGGCUGCGUAACCAGCAGAUCUGAUGGUGUUUGAAGUCUCUGGUAGACACAGAUGGUUUCUGGAGCCCAUGGCAGGCCCCAUGGAAGAAUCACAGCACAAAUUUUGAAGGAUUUAGAGUGAAGCUAUGCCAUCCUCUUCAGAUCCUAUUCUUCUGAGAGUCCCUGGUUUGAUAUAGGCCCUGGUAGAGAGCAAAUGUUUGGCUGCAACACACCAAAUUACUAGACAACAUGAUUUCUCCAUCGUGAAUCGGAUGUUGUCUGACGCAUCACGUUACAACCCACUGGCAUGCACUGCAGCACUCCAUCAUCAGGGAAAAUGGUGUGUACCGAUUGGAUUAAUAGGAUCUGAAGGUUCAAGCAAAGUCCAUGGGCAGAUGACCAUGACUCCCAGGACUCUUCCUCUGUCUGCAUCAUCUCCCCUCCCUCGUUAGUGCCCAUCACCUCAAGGGGAAUUCCCCAUGACCAGUUAACUAAAGAAGAAAAUAGGCAAGCCUUGUUGACAGAGAGUUCUGCACAAGAUUCUAGCAAUAGGCCAAAGGUGGACAGAGGCAGAGCUUCAGCCACAGAGAAGACCUAAAGGGCCAUCAAGGCAAUAAACUGAAGGCCUUGCAGGGGCCAGAACCUCAAGAAGCACACACACCUCUGGCUAUUCAGUUUGCUUAAAAGAAGAGGUCUCUGUCUAUACUGGUUCAUGAACACUGACUAACAAUUUGGCUGGAGAGAUGAGGAUUCGAAAGUAAGAUGGUUGGGAAAUUGAUAAUGAGGGUGUCCGGGGAAGAUGUGUGUAGAUAGACCUCUCUGAAUGGGCACAACCAUGAAGACAUUUGUGUCAUGAGUGAAUGCUCACCAAAGAGCACCUUCGCCAGAGGAGGACCUUCAUAACCAGGUGGGUGAAAUGAUUCAUUCUCUGGAUGUCUGCUGACCUCUUUCCCCAGUCAUCUUGUCUUUAUAAUCAAUGGGCUCAUGGGCCCAGGGCAUGGUGGCAGGAAUGGAGAUUAAGCCCAGGCUGGGGCUGACAUUCAUCGAAGCCAGCCUGGCUGCGGUCACUGCUGAAUGCCCCACCGGCCGACAGCACAGACUGCAAGUGAGCCCCUGAUGUGCACAGAAGUUGGGUCAAAACACGGUGGAUGGGAAGCUGCAUGGUUCACUUGAAGAGCCAGGAACUAGGAGUGACAAGUCGGAGGUUUCCAUUUCUUCUCCCAACAACAGCAGCAGAAACAUGAGUGGCUACAUCUGUAAUGAAGUGAGGGCACAGGAGAAAGUUGAAGUUGGAGUCAAGAGCUGAGAUCCUGAGUGGUGGGGUAGGGGUGGGCAGGGAUCAGCUGGGAGAACUGGCAUCAGCUGGAUCAGCUGGCAGCAACUAGGUACCACUUCAUGGGUGGGGGACUCUGUCACUGUGUUAGGAAGCCCGGACAACAAUGACCUGAGGGGCCCUGGAGGCAUUGAUGCUGUCUGCUCUGGGUCGCUCACUAGCUCUGUGACCUUGGCUGUGUCUCCAGUCCUCUCGGAACCUCGGUACCCUCAUCUGUCAACUGCAGGGCUGCUCGGGAGGGAUGAAUGAGAUACACCGUAUGUGCAGUUCACGGCACAGCGCCUGUGCUGGUGUGCUCAUGGCGUGACCCCAGGUGAAUGUCCUCACCCUGCUCUCAGACGCUGCUGUCGAACUAGGUCAGUGACUGCUAAAUUGAACAAGCCUCAGAAUCACUCAGAAACUUGUUUAAAAUACAGACCCCUGGGGCCAAACCUGGGUCUGCUGGUCUGGGAUGUACAGAGGCAGGACCUGAGAGGCUGUACUGUCAAACAAUCACCCCAGGGGUUCCGGUCCGCAGACGGCUCCGUGGACGGGGCUGGAGGCCUCAGCA